rnacentral:rRNA from 1 species
ACGAACGCUGGCGGCGUGCUUAACACAUGCCAGUCGAACGGAAAGGCCCUGCUUUUGUGGGGUGCUCGAGUGGCGAACGGGUGAGUAACACGUGGGUAACCUGCCCUUGACUUUGGGAUAACUUCAGGAAACUGGGGCUAAUACCGGAUAGGAGCUCCUGCUGCAUGGUGGGGGUUGGAAAGUUUCGGCGGUUGGGGAUGGACUCGCGGCUUAUCAGCUUGUUGGUGGGGUAGUGGCUUACCAAGGCUUUGACGGGUAGCCGGCCUGAGAGGGUGACCGGCCACAUUGGGACUGAGAUACGGCCCAGACUCCUACGGGAGGCAGCAGUGGGGAAUAUUGCACAAUGGGCGGAAGCCUGAUGCAGCAACGCCGCGUGCGGGAUGACGGCCUUCGGGUUGUAAACCGCUUUCGCCUGUGACGAAGCGUGAGUGACGGUAAUGGGUAAAGAAGCACCGGCUAACUACGUG